GUUUGCAUCAAGGCCAAUGAGAAAAGAAGACCCCCCCCCUAUCCCUGUGGCGAGAUAGUUUCCUUCCUUAACUUUUAUUUUUUUCUCGUUUGGGCUUGUUGCCCUGUUUGUAAUUUCCUUUUGCCCUUUUUGUACAGCGACUUUCUAUUCUUUCAUUUAAUUGAAAUACAAAAAAAAAAUAUAGGUAGGGGGAUCCCCUACUGUUCCUUCAAAAAAAAUAAGGGGUAAUAUCAAUAGACAAUGCAUAAAUUAUAUAAAAUACAUAAUAAAUCAGAGAUAACCUUAGGCAACAAACAAUGGAAGAUAACUCCAACUUCGGGUAUUAACUCCAAUCUACAGGAUCCAAACUGACUGGUUGAUCACAAGCCUAACACUCCUCCUCAAGGGUGACGGAAAUAGCAAGAGUGAGUCCAUAUCGAACUCCACAAAUAUAGCAACAAGGUUGUAUGAUCCCACAAACUCAUGACCAAUAUGACAUAAAUAAUGUAAAGCAGAAUAAAUAAUGAGUAUCUUAAAACAACAAGAAUCAUCACCCUUAAUGUAGAUGUCCCCAAGGCUGCUCCUGAC
rnacentral:lncRNA from 1 species